GCCUUCGUGGCGUAGUGGUCAGCACGCUUGGCGCGUAUUCCAGAGGUCCGUGGUUCAAGUCCCGGCGACGGCA
rfam:Stegodyphus mimosarum contig17013, whole genome shotgun sequence.